rnacentral:misc_RNA from 1 species
AAAGUGCGAUAAGCAAUGCGAAUUGCAGAAUUCCGCGAAUCAUCAGAUCCUUGAACGCAACUGGCGCUAGGAGGCUCUCCUCCUAGCAGGUCUGUUUCAGUGUCUGAAAACAUCACAAUCUAACUUAAUGUGGUUGAUGACAAAAAGAGAAAUGGGAUUUGUGGACUUUUAGUCCCUACCCUAUAACCUUCUCUUUCUUGAAAUCUCCCAUGAAAGAUGUACAUGCGGGUCAUUGGACCCCUCAUCGAAUUGGUCACUGUUUCCUCAGUGAUUUCGAUAGGGGAAAAAAUAAUAAAUCCAUUACCUAAAUGCAUGUAGGAAAACAAUUUAUUCUAACUUCAAACUCUGCAUCUGAAAUCAGGCCAGAACACCCGCUGAACUUAA